rnacentral:rRNA from 1 species
AGGACGAACGCUGGCGGCGCGCUUAACACAUGCAAGUCGAGCGAGAACCAGGGCUUCGGCUCUGGGGAAAGCGGCGAACGGGUGAGUAACACGUGAGUAACCUGCCCUCGGCACCGGGAUAGCCCGGGGAAACCCGGAUUAAUACCGGAUAGCCUUUCGAGCUCUCGGGCUCGUCAGAAAAGGUAGCUUUGGCCUCUGGCCGAGGAAGGGCUCGCGGCGGAUUAGCUUGUUGGUGUAGGUAACGGCUCACCAAGGCGACGAUCCGUAGCUGGUCUGAGAGGACGAUCAGCCACACUGGGACUGAGACACGGCCCAGACUCCUACGGGAGGCAGCAGUGGGAAUCUUGCGCAAUGGGCGAAAGCCUGACGCAGCGACGCCGCGUGCGGAAGACGGCCUUGGGUGUAAACCGCGUUUACGAGGAGGACGAAGCCACGUCGGUAGAAUA